rnacentral:lncRNA from 1 species
CAGGGCGUGCACGACUCCAAUUUCUCUUCUAUAAAUGAAGAAGCACAGAGACCCUCAAGAUAAGUUCUCAAUUUUUAGCUAACUUGAGCGUCGGAGGGUCCCCAUCAAAAAUUUUUUUGAUCAAAAACUUGUUUUACAGGUCCAGCUCUAGCAUCCAAGGGGCUUCUUUAUCGGCACCUCAUCACCAAUCGAGGAUGCUUCCACUUCAUCUCCAGCUGAGGACUCCUCUACCUCAUCUUCAAUCGAAAAUACUUCCAUCUCAUCUCCAGUCGAAGACACUUCUAUCUCAUCUCC